rnacentral:misc_RNA from 1 species
GUGAAUCAUCGAAUCUUUGAACGCACCUUGCACCCUUUGGCAUUCCGAAGGGUAUGCUCGUUUGAGUGUCAUUGUACUCUCACACUUCCAAUCCUUUGGAUUGGGAAUGGUGGACUUGGGUGUUGCCGCUUUACUGUGGCUCACCUCAAAUGGAUUAGUGCAACUCUUGGUUGGACAUAGUACGGCGUGAUAAGUGUCUUCGCCGGCACCCCGCAAGGGGAUGGCUAAUCAUGAGCUCUGUGCUUCAAACCGUCUGCGGACAAUAACUGACAACUUGACCUCAAAUCGAGUAGGACUACCCGCUGAACUUAAGCAUAUCAAUAAGCGGAGGA